UUCAUUGAACGCAGCAUUGGCUGGGUAGACUGAGAUCUGGAGAAGCCCGCCUUAGAAUGGGGUCGCUGAGAGGGUCCUGCACUGUCAGUAGACCGUCGAGAUGGUGCGAGAGGAAUCGGGUCAUCAUCAUCAUCCUCUGUCUGAAUUCUCGUUCGUGGACCCCUGCCCACUCUGAUGUACGAAGCUCGAAAGAGUGUUUCAGGCGCCAUUGUUCCAUCGGCAGGAUUAGUGGGGACAUUCCUCCGUAAUCAGAGUUGAGUCACCAAACAAGGGAAAUAAAAUCCCUUAGACAGCAGCGGUCCUUGCAAGACCAUUUCAUUAUCAAUUACCU
rnacentral:lncRNA from 1 species